AGGAAUUUUCCCCAAUGGGCGCAAGCCUGAGGGAGCAACGCCGCGUGGAGGACGACGGCCUUCGGGUUGUAAACUCCUUUCGGGUGGGACGAUGCUGACGGUACCACCAGAAGCAGCCCCGGCUAACUCCGUGCCAGCAGCCGCGGUAAGACGGAGGAUGCAAGUGUUAUCCGGAAUCACUGGGCGUAAAGCGUCUGUAGGUGGCCCAAUAAGUCAACUGUUAAAUCUUGAGGCUUAACCUCAAAAU
rnacentral:rRNA from 1 species